CCAUCAACAUAUAAAGUCUUCAUGUGGUACCUUCAUCGGUGAGUUGUGCUAAUGAAAGACAACCUUGUACGGCGUAACUGGCCAGGGAGUGAGAAGUGUUGCUUUUGUGCUCAUGAUAAGACAAUCAAGCACCUCUUUUUCCGUUGCAAAUUUGCAUGUUCUACAUGGUCAGUCAUCCAAACAGCGUUGAAUUUGUAUUCGUCCACAAGUGUUGCCAAUAUAUUUGGUCAUUAG
rnacentral:rRNA from 1 species